rnacentral:lncRNA from 1 species
ACAAGGGCAAGGCGAAGAAGGGAGAAGGGUCUUCGGGAGGAGGUUCGACGUUCUCCGACGCCCUCGAGAAAGUGGCCGAAAGCAUGAGGGAGCAUGCUCUCAAAACGGGGGAAAUCGCCGAGGUAAAAAAAAAUGCAAGCCGAGAUGAAACGGGAGGAGAUGAAUAUGAAGCUCUUGAACAAGGACACGACAGGUAUGACGGAUGCACAAUUAGCCUUGCACAACUACCUAGUCCAAGAAGUGCUCAAGCGUCGAGGGCUUAUUUAAAUUAAGAAAUUAUGUUAUUUUUUAUUUUAUUAUCGUAUUUUAAUUAUGUUUUUAAUUUUAUUUAAAUUAUUGUAAUGUAGAAUUUUAAUUUUAAUGAAAUUUUAAUUUUAAAAAUAAAAGUGUAGAAAUAUGAAUUUUAUGGAAAUGGGGAUCUAAGCACCCACCUA